GGGUUGUGAGGUUAAGCGACUAAGCGUACACGGUGGAUGCCCUGGCAGUCAGAGGCGAUGAAGGACGUGCUAAUCUGCGAUAAGCGUCGGUAAGGUGAUAUGAACCGUUAUAACCGGCGAUUUCCGAAUGGGGAAACCCAGUGUGAUUCGUCACACUAUCAUUAACUGAAUCCAUAGGUUAAUGAGGCGAACCGGGGGAACUGAAACAUCUAAGUACCCCGAGGAAAAGAAAUCAACCGAGAUUCCCCCAGUAGCGGCGAGCGAACGGGAGCAGCCCAGAGCCUGAAUCAGUGUGUGUGUUAGUGGAAGCGUCUGGAAAGGCGCGCGAUACAGGGUGACAGCCCCGUACACAAAAAUGCACAUACUGUGAGCUCGAUGAGUAGGGCGGGACACGUGGUAUCCUGUCUGAAUAUGGGGGGACCAUCCUCCAAGGCUAAAUACUCCUGACUGACCGAUAGUGAACCAGUACCGUGAGGGAAAGGCGAAAAGAACCCCGGCGAGGGGAGUGAAAAAGAACCUGAAACCGUGUACGUACAAGCAGUGGGAGCACAGAGCAAUCUGUGUGACUGCGUACCUUUUGUAUAAUGGGUCAGCGACUUAUAUUCUGUAGCAAGGUUAACCGAAUAGGGGAGCCGAAGGGAAACCGAGUCUUAACUGGGCGUUAAGUUGCAGGGUAUAGACCCGAAACCCGGUGAUCUAGCCAUGGGCAGGUUGAAGGUUGGGUAACACUAACUGGAGGACCGAACCGACUAAUGUUGAAAAAUUAGCGGAUGACUUGUGGCUGGGGGUGAAAGGCCAAUCAAACCGGGAGAUAGCUGGUUCUCCCCGAAAGCUAUUUAGGUAGCGCCUCGUGAAUUCAUCUCCGGGGUAGAGCACUGUUUCGGCAAGGGGUCAUCCCGACUUACCAACCCGAUGCAAACUGCGAAUACCGGAGAAUGUUAUCACGGGAGACACACGGCGGGUGCUAACGUCCGUCGUGAAGAGGGAAACAACCCAGACCGCCAGCUAAGGUCCCAAAGUCAUGGUUAAGUGGGAAACGAUGUGGGAAGGCCCAGACAGCCAGGAUGUUGGCUUAGAAGCAGCCAUCAUUUAAAGAAAGCGUAAUAGCUCACUGGUCGAGUCGGCCUGCGCGGAAGAUGUAACGGGGCUAAACCAUGCACCGAAGCUGCGGCAGCGACGCUGAUGCGUUGUUGGGUAGGGGAGCGUUCUGUAAGCCUGUGAAGGUGUGCUGUGAGGCAUGCUGGAGGUAUCAGAAGUGCGAAUGCUGACAUAAGUAACGAUAAAGCGGGUGAAAAGCCCGCUCGCCGGAAGACCAAGGGUUCCUGUCCAACGUUAAUCGGGGCAGGGUGAGUCGACCCCUAAGGCGAGGCCGAAAGGCGUAGUCGAUGGGAAACAGGUUAAUAUUCCUGUACUUGGUGUUACUGCGAAGGGGGGACGGAGAAGGCUAUGUUGGCCGGGCGACGGUUGUCCCGGUUUAAGCGUGUAGGCUGGUUUUCCAGGCAAAUCCGGAAAAUCAAGGCUGAGGCGUGAUGACGAGGCACUACGGUGCUGAAGCAACAAAUGCCCUGCUUCCAGGAAAAGCCUCUAAGCAUCAGGUAACAUCAAAUCGUACCCCAAACCGACACAGGUGGUCAGGUAGAGAAUACCAAGGCGCUUGAGAGAACUCGGGUGAAGGAACUAGGCAAAAUGGUGCCGUAACUUCGGGAGAAGGCACGCUGAUAUGUAGGUGAAGUCCCUCGCGGAUGGAGCUGAAAUCAGUCGAAGAUACCAGCUGGCUGCAACUGUUUAUUAAAAACACAGCACUGUGCAAACACGAAAGUGGACGUAUACGGUGUGACGCCUGCCCGGUGCCGGAAGGUUAAUUGAUGGGGUCAGCGCAAGCGAAGCUCUUGAUCGAAGCCCCGGUAAACGGCGGCCGUAACUAUAACGGUCCUAAGGUAGCGAAAUUCCUUGUCGGGUAAGUUCCGACCUGCACGAAUGGCGUAAUGAUGGCCAGGCUGUCUCCACCCGAGACUCAGUGAAAUUGAACUCGCUGUGAAGAUGCAGUGUACCCGCGGCAAGACGGAAAGACCCCGUGAACCUUUACUAUAGCUUGACACUGAACAUUGAGCCUUGAUGUGUAGGAUAGGUGGGAGGCUUAGAAGUGUGGACGCCAGUCUGCAUGGAGCCGACCUUGAAAUACCACCCUUUAAUGUUUGAUGUUCUAACGUUGACCCGUAAUCCGGGUUGCGGACAGUGUCUGGUGGGUAGUUUGACUGGGCGGUCUCCUCCUAAAGAGUAACGGAGGAGCACGAAGGUUGGCUAAUCCUGGUCGGACAUCAGGAGGUUAGUGCAAUGGCAUAAGCCAGCUUGACUGCGAGCGUGACGGCGCGAGCAGGUGCGAAAGCAGGUCAUAGUGAUCCGGUGGUUCUGAAUGGAAGGGCCAUCGCUCAACGGAUAAAAGGUACUCCGGGAUAACAGGCUGAUACCGCCCAAGAGUUCAUAUCGACGGCGGUGUUUGGCACCUCGAUGUCGGCUCAUCACAUCCUGGGGCUGAAGUAGGUCCCAAGGGUAUGGCUGUUCGCCAUUUAAAGUGGUACGCGAGCUGGGUUUAGAACGUCGUGAGACAGUUCGGUCCCUAUCUGCCGUGGGCGCUGGAGAAUUGAGGGGGCUGCUCCUAGUACGAGAGGACCGGAGUGGACGCAUCACUGGUGUUCGGGUUGUCAUGCCAAUGGCACUGCCCGGUAGCUAAAUGCGGAAGAGAUAAGUGCUGAAAGCAUCUAAGCACGAAACUUGCCCCGAGAUGAGUUCUCCCUGACUCCUUGAGAGUCCUGAAGGAACGUUGAAGACGACGACGUUGAUAGGCCGGGUGUGUAAGCGCAGCGAUGCGUUGAGCUAACCGGUACUAAUGAACCGUGAGGCUUAACCUUACAACGCCGAAGGUGUUU
rnacentral:rRNA from 1 species